UUUGACAGUAACUUCUUAUAACGGGCCAUUUACGGUCAAUUCUCUUCUGGGGUUGCCAUAGAGCUUCCUCACCCGGGCGUCGUGCCCUAUAGGUCGCCUUGUUCGGCAGCCUCUCCGGUCCGGGAGUCAUUCCUCUCGCUGAGAGCGUUCUCUCGUUUGUGAGUCACGUUGUUUGUAGCGUUCUGUGUAGCGUCCGUCUCUGUGUGUGGUGUGUGUGUGUGUGUGUGUGGAGCUGCUCUGCCCAGGGCUGUCGAGUCGGGGAUAGGCGGAAUAGCAACAGGAGCGUACGGUUAGCGUGCCGAUACGGCCCGUCCGGAAUUGUUUGGCUCUCGCUCGGCAUCUGGGUGACUUGUUUGAUAACUCGGUGUGAUUUUUCCAGAUGCGGACUGGCUAGAUGCCCACCGAAGAGCGGCAGAGGAGGAGAGCAGAGCGCCGUAAGAAGGCGCGAAUCGAUGCGCGAACGGGAUAUCCGCACCGGAGCGAACUUAAGCGAGGCGAGCGAUGACAGGUGGCGGUCAGGCCUCGGCACGGCAGGCCGAAGAAUCCGACUCCGAGCGGCCGAGGAAAAGGGACGGGCGAGAUGAAGGCGUUUCCAAGGAGGGCUUCGUCGCAGCGGAGGUCGACGCCGGGCGGCACGUCGGCGACCGGCGACGCUCUGUCUCGUGAGGGAUGAAGCGGAACCCGGCGGAUGGGGGAGCGUCCCGGUUAGAUGACCUUUUCCCCAUGAGAAGGGAAUCUGGAUUCUGCCCUCUGAAAGGUGCCACGGCACGAUUUGGAUUCCCGCACGACACCCUCGAGUGAGGUUUUUGUGGAGUAUCCAAGUAACAGCGAAGGAGCGGUGCAGUUAGCAAGGCAUCUUCCCCGGUCCCUGCCUAUGAGCGCUAACUCUACAGAGUCAGGCGGAGCGGCGAUGGUGUCUUAAGGGACAGGGCAGGGAAUCAGAGUAGCUAUCCAGGUGUCCGCAAGCUGCACGUGUUUGGCCGGGGGGUUGAAGCGGAGGAUCCAGAUGCCAUUGUAGUAGAGAGCUCUCGAACGAGAAGAAUGUUAAGCGAAGCAGGAGAGACGGACUGUCAACGUGCCCG